rnacentral:lncRNA from 1 species
UAACCAUUAAUUCUUGGGAAAUCUAAUGGUUUGAAUUAGUGAUGAAUCUAAAUCAUUAGAUUCUCUAAAAUUGAUGGCUAUGAUGUGAAAUAAGUGUGGAGUAAUUUACUUUUGGAGUAGGUGGAUUCCUCCUCUUAUAAUAAUAUUUUUUUUUUCUCUUCUUAAUAAUUUAUAAAAAAAUAAUAUAUUUUCCUAUAUCAUAAAAAAGUAAUAUAUCUCACAAAGUGAUAUUUUGUUAUUAAUAUAUGUCAUUUUCUUGUGGUAUUAAAAGAUUUAUAGGAAAGUUUGUUAAGAUAAUAUAUAUGACUACUAAUAAAUAUGCAAUGAUUAUGAACUAGUUGUUCAAUUUCAUGAGUUGUACAGAAACCUUACCUUAGUUUAGUACUUCUAGUAAUUAUUUACACCAUCAGAAUUUGAAUGACUUAAUUAACUGGGAGUGGCUAUUGUUUUCAUAUAACUCUACUAAGUUCCCAUGAGAUUUCAUAUCUUGUAUGUGCAUGAAAAAUUUUGCAUAUAUUUUUUAUGCCACCUUGACCUUUCUUUAAUAUGUGUUUCUCAAUUCAUCCCCAAAAAAAUAUAAAUAACACCUAACUAUGUAACAAAAAUGAGGCUAUCAUACUAGUGAAAAUGCAUAUCUACUAGAGCACACACAAGAACACAAGUCACUAAUUUUUGUAUAGGAAAACCACAAUACUAACUCUCACCAUAAAUACAUAAAAGUUACUUGAAUGUGGAACCCCACCCUAGAACCAAGGCAACUGAUCCUAAUUAAUGGGCUCUGUCCUCUCUGGAUUUACUGAAAAACCUAACAUAUUAAGUUCAGUACAAGUCCACAACAAGAGAAGCCUGCUACUUUGAGCAAUUGCAUCUGAAAGAAGGAAAUGGACUACUGCAUUUAACGUAUUUCUUUCCACUUUUGCUUACUAAUUAAAUUCCUUUCAACUCCAUUUGCAGCUACCCUACUCACACUCCUGAUUAUGGGUACCACCAAGUAAGCUUCUCUUAUACAAAAAGUGAUUAUUUUUAUUAGAGAAAAGUUGCUUAGUAAUAAUAAUUGUAUGAACAAACAGGCUACUAUGUAUAACCCACAGAUUCAGCAAGCACAAUAUUAUCAAAACCUAGCUUCUCCAUAUUACUAUGGUUAUUCUAUGCAAGCACCUAGGGCUACAUUUUCUACACCCCAAACACAUCGUUUACCAGCUGGGGUAUCCUAUAUAUACUACCCUACUUCACCUAUUGAAGGCUCUUCUGCUUUUCGUCCACCUUAUCAACCACCAACAAGGCAAAUAAUCCCUCCUUCAACUACCGAUUCACAAACUCAGCAGCGUACCUCAUCUGAGACAGGAUCUGGAGUAGUUAUAACUUCAGAAAGUUCAAAUAGCCAAGUGAAGAGCUAAAGCUAAUAAAUAAAUAUAUAUACCUGCUAAGUUUCAAUUGUAUAAUCGUCAAAUUAUAUUUGAUGGUCGCAUAAAUUCUUGGUCUUUUUUCCACAUUUAUAUCUUCAUUUUUUUGGUCCACAUGCUGUAGCUUUAGCCAAUAAUGGUUCACAACAGUUUACUUGUGUUCUCCGCUACUAUGGCAUUCAAAUGUUGGACUAAUCAACUUUUUUCUUGAGAGAUUUUCUUCAAUCUACUUUCCUUUUGCCUUUAG